CACAUGCAAGUCGAACGGCAGCACGGGAGCAAGUCCUGGUGGCGAGUGGCGAACGGGUGAGUAAUAUAUCGGAACGUGCCCAGUCUGGGGGAUAACGUAGCGAAAGCUACGCUAAUACCGCAUACGAUCUAUGGAUGAAAGCGGGGAUCGCAAGACCUCGCGCGAUUGGAGCGGCCGAUAUCAGAUUAGGUAGUUGGUGAGGUAAAGGCUCACCAAGCCGACGAUCUGUAGCUGGUCUGAGAGGACGACCAGCCACACUGGGACUGAGACACGGCCCAGACUCCUACGGGAGGCAGCAGUGGGGAAUUUUGGACAAUGGGCGCAAGCCUGAUCCAGCAAUGCCGCGUGCAGGAUGAAGGCCUUCGGGUUGUAAACUGCUUUUGUACGGAACGAAACGGUGAGCUCUAAUACAGUUUGCUAAUGACGGUACCGUAAGAAUAAGCACCGGCUAACUACGUG
rnacentral:rRNA from 1 species